UUCCUGACCUCGGAUCAGACGUGAUUACCCGCUGAACUUAAGCAUAUCACUAAGCGGAGGAAGAGAAACUAACGAGGAUUCCCCUAGUAACUGCGAGUGAACAGGGAUUAGCCCAGCACCGAAUCCUGUGGCCAUUUGGCUACUAGGAAAUGUGGUGUUCAGGUUGUUCCGCAAAGGUGCUGCUCCACCCUAAGUCCAUCCAUGAGUGCGGUAGUUUGGACCAGGCCCAUAGAGGGUGAAAGGCCCGUGGGGGUGGAGA
rnacentral:rRNA from 4 species